rnacentral:tRNA from 1 species
UCCUAUUCUAGUUUAUAACAAAAUAUUAACUUUGGAAGUUAAAGAAUAAAAAGAUUUAGAAGAGGA